UUUUACGGGGGGCAGCAGUAGGGAAUCUUCCACAAUGGACGAAAGUCUGAUGGAGCAACGCCGCGUGAGUGAAGAAGGGUUUCGGCUCGUAAAGCUCUGUUGGUAGUGAAGAAAGAUAGAGGUAGUAACUGGCCUUUAUUUGACGGGAAUUACUUAGAAAGUCACGGCUAAAUACGUUCCAGCAGCCGCGGUAAUAAGUAGGUGGCAAACGUUGUCCGGAUUUAUUGGGCGUAAAGCGAG
rnacentral:rRNA from 1 species